UGUCUAGUCCAGGUGUGUGUCUAGUCCAGGUGUGUGUCUGUGUUACAGUGUGUCUAGUCCAGGUGUGUCUAGUCCAGGUGGGUCUAGUCCAGGUGUGUCUAGUCCAGGUAUGUCUCUGUGUUAGUGUGUCUAGUCCAGUUGUGUCUAGUCCAGGUGUGUCUCUGUGUUACAGUGUGUCUAGUCCAAUUGUGUCUAGUCCAGGUGUGUCUAGUCCAGAUGGGUCUAGUCCAGGUGGGUCUAGUCCAGGUGUGUGUCUACUCCAGGUAUGUCUCUGUGUUACAGUGUGUCUAGUCCAGGUGGGUCUAGUCCAGGUGUGUCUGUGUUACAGUGUAUCUAGUCCAGGUGGGUCUAGUCCAGGUGUGUGUCUAGUCCAGGUGUGUGUCUAGUCCAGGUGUGUGUCU